AAGCAGCGGCUGGCACCCACGAACGGCACCGGUGACUGUCUAAAUCGUUUUGCCGUGUUGAGGUGUAACGGUGUCGGUGCCAGCUUGCCGAACCGUCCCGAGCACGGGAUUUUGCCUUAUUGCAAAGUCAGCUCGAUAGCCCUGGUCUGGAGUAUCUCCGGCUCUGGGUGGGAGCUGGCAGCACCCCACUUUCCUACCUCCAAUAUAGGACCAUGUGGCUCCUGCAGCCUACUUCAAAACGAUGGUAGACUAGUGAGCAGCGGUGAUUUCCUGUGUUUUGGAAUGUUAACAUCAGCACCACUUGUAAUCUGUAGACAGCUGUGGCUAAAGGUGAACAGGAAAGUUCUGUAUACACGAUAAACCAAAAAUACCCCUAGGAAUCAGCUAUUAGUAUUUGAAAUGGCUGAGAUUUCAGGAGGUAGUUCUGUUGCUUCAUCUGAAACACAAGUUUGACUAAAGGCAACCCUCUUUAUAGUAAUAGGAUUCUGGUUUCCGCCCUCCUUCAAAUCGUGGAAUUUCAUCUGGAGUAGGAAGUAAACCCUUCCGGCCUCCUGCGCAGUAAGAGAUGCAGUGGAUAGGAGUCAGAAGAGACAUU